GUGCUCUCUCUUUGGCAGCACAUAUACUAAAAUUGGAACGAUACAGAGAUUAACACGGCCUCUACCCAAGGAUGAGAUGCAAACUCAUGAAGUGUUCUGUAUUUUA